CCUACGGGUGGCAGCAGUGGGGGAUAUUGCACAAUGGGGGAAACCCUGAUGCAGCGACGCCGCGUGGGUGAAGAAGUAUUUCGGUAUGUAAAGCCCUAUCAGCAGGGAAGAAAGAAGACGGUACCUGACUAAGAAGCCCCGGCUAACUACGUGCCAGCAGCCGCGGUAAUACGUAGGGGGCGAGCGUUAUCCGGAUUCACUGGGUGUAAAGGGAGCGUAGACGGCCGUGCAAGCCAGGAGUGAAAGCCCGGGGCCCAACCCCGGGACUGCUCUUGGAACUGUGCGGCUGGAGUGCGGGAGGGGCAGGCGGAAAUCCUGGUGUAGCGGUGAAAUGCGGAGAUAUCAGGAGGAACACCGGCGGCGAAGGCGGCCUGCUGGACCGCGACUGACGUUGAGGCUCGAAAGCGUGGGGAGCGAACAGGAUUAGAUACCCUGGUAGUC
rnacentral:rRNA from 1 species